GAAUCGCCCUUCGGGGUGCCCAGGCGCGAAAACUUUACAAUGCCGGCAACGGCGAUAAGGGAACCUCGAGUGCCAGGUUACAAAUCUGGCUGUCGUGAUGCCUAAAAAGCAUUGCAUAGCAAGGGCCGGGCAAGACCGGUGCCAGCCGCCGCGGUAACACCGGCGGCUCGAGUGGUAACCGUUAUUAUUGGGUCUAAAGGGUCUGUAGCCGGCCGGGUAAGUCUCUUGGGAAAUCUGGCAGCUUAACUGUCAGGCUUUCAGGAGAUACUGCCUGGCUCGAGGCCGGGAGAGGUGAGAGGUACUUCAGGGGUAGGGGUGAAAUCUUGUAAUCCUUGAAGGACCACCAGUGGCGAAGGCGUCUCACCAGAACGGACCUGACGGCAAGGGACGAAAGCUAGGGGCACGAACCGGAUUAGAUACCCGGGUAGUCCUAGCCGUAAACGAUACUCGCCAGGUGUCGGCCACGGUGCGACCGUGGUCGGUGCCGUAGGGAAGCCGUGAAGCGAGCCACCUGGGAAGUACGGCCGCAAGGCUGAAACUUAAAGGAAUUGGCGGGGGAGCAC
rnacentral:rRNA from 1 species